rnacentral:tRNA from 1 species
GGACGGCUAGCUCAGCUGGUUAGAGCACCGCUUUUACACAGCGGGGGUCUGGGGUUCGAAUCCCUAGCCGUCCA